rnacentral:rRNA from 1 species
GAUGAACGCUAGCGGCAGGCCUAACACAUGCAAGUCGAACGGUAACAGGUGUAGCAAUACAUGCUGACGAGUGGCGCACGGGUGCGUAACACGUAUGCAACUUAACUCUAACUGGGGAAUAGCAUCGAGAAAUCGAAAUUAAUGUCACAUAAUAAUUUGAUCAGGCAUCUGGUUAAAUUUAAAAAUACGGUGGUUAGAGAUAGGCAUGCGUCCUAUUAGUUUGUUGGUGAGGUAACGGCUCACCAAGGCUACGAUAGGUAGGGGGCCUGAGAGGGUUAUCCCCCACACUGGUACUGAGACACGGACCAGACUCCUACGGGAGGCAGCAGUGAGGAAUAUUGGUCAAUGGUCGCAAGACUGAACCAGCCAUGCCGCGUGCAGGAUGAAGGCCCUAUGGGUUGUAAACUGCUUUUAUCUGGGAAUAAACCCCUCUACGUGUAGAGGGCUGAAGGUACCAGAUGAAUAAGGACCGGCUAACUUCGUGCCAGCAGCCGCCGUAACAC